rnacentral:lncRNA from 1 species
AGAAAGAGAAAGAAAGAAAGGAAGGAAGGGAGGGAGAGAGGAAGAAAGGGAGGAAGGAAGAGAAGGAAGUGAAACUGAGACCCCCUAAAACUGAGUUCCCUUGCUGAUUACUCUCUCUAUCCAAAACUUUAUUUACGUUCUUGUCCUGCUCCUAUUCCUUUCAGGAUUGAGAAGUAUUAAAGAAAAAGGGAGAUUGAAACCAAACAGGACCCUGUGGGGCCUUCCCAGGUACCAAAGUCCCUCCAUUUCCCUUGUUUCUUGUUUGUAGUAAACACAAGUAUUGGUCUCCUAGGCCUUCUUUGAAUUCCAAAGAGCAGCCUCAAGCAGUUAAUGAUUAGGUCUAUAGUCCCCAGCUUCCUAGUUCCCCUGAUGAGAUAUACAUAACAAUUUGGCACAUAUCUUUGAGUUGUUCUGCAGAAAAUAUACCUCCCAACCCAGGUGGAGGCUGAUGUCUACAUGCUGACCACAAUCAUGCACACUCCAGACUGGUUGAAACCAGAAAGUUCAGAUUCCCAAAACAUCAUCCUGUUAUGUCACCACCAACCAUUCAGAGGAAGGUCCAUGGUAUGAUCACACAUUCUACAAACCUCACACCUAACACUGUCUUUAAAAACCCCUGCCUGAAAGCCAUUGGGGAAUUUGGGUCUUUUGAAUAUGAGUGGUCCAUUCUCCAUGCUUGGCUCCCUGCAAGUAAACCCUUACUUUGCUGCAAACACCCCUUAUCAGAGUUUGGGUUUCUGUGCUAUGGAAACUGAUGGGAUUUUAAAUGGAAAAAAAUGGAUAUAUUUGAGAUGGGUUGUGAAGCUAGAGAUGGUGGGGCUUUCUGAUGGAUUAAAUGUGAUGAAUGAUGGAAAUGGAGGGGUCACAAAGAUUCUGAGGCUUAUGGGUUGAGCAGUGAAAUGAGAAAUGAAGACAUUUACUAAGUCUGUGAAGGUAUGGGGAACAAGUUUGAACUGGAAAUUCAAUUUAGGGCUCAUGAAGCUGGUGAGUCAUUCAAUGGACAUUGGUACCAAAGUUGGUUAUGAGUGUCUGGGGUUGAGAGGAGACAGCCAUACUGGAGAUUAUCAAUUUGAGAAUCAUCAAAAUAUAGGUGAUACUUAAAACUAUCGGAUGAACUCACAUAAGGAAAUAUCCAGCGAGAAAAGAGAACGUGGCCCUGGAGUGACUGAGGAACACCAACAAGAGAGUUGAGAAAGAAAGAUAUAGCCUUUUGUGAAAAAGAGUAGGUGGUGAGGUAAGAGGAAAGGCAAGAAUGUGUUGUGUCAGGAAGUCAAGAGGUUAUUUCAAGAAAGAGAAGGCUAGCCUCCCCUAGAAUGUUACUGAGAGGUAAGAUAAGGACAGACAAAAGUUCUUUGACAAUAGACAGAAUGACAAUGACAUUGACAAAAAUAGUCUUAAAUGUAAGUGAAAGCCAGACUGGAGCCUGUCAAAGAUGUUGCCAAAGCCAAGUUGAUGUGCCCAAUGAACAGUGAGGCCAAACAAACCUUUAUAUUGGAGUUUGGAGGACAUAGAAGGGAUUUGUACCUAGGAGGAACCUACAGGCUCCUGCUUGGUUUCAAUCGGUGAUAUGAAUUUAAAGAGAAAUAAGUAAGUUUACAUAUAUGAUUUUUCAAAUGCCAGUGCAUAUAUGAGGAAGGCAGAUUAACAAUCAGGGUUUUGACAAGAGAGUAGUAUGUCAGGAUAAAAAAAUAACAGAGCUCAGGGUCUUUGAGAAGAGUGUGAUUAUGAUGAUGGACAAUGAUCAAGGCUAAAUGUGUAUCCAGCCUAGGGCUGAGGCAGAUAGGGGUUGAUUGUUAGUGAAAAAGUGGUGGAAUCAGGGUAGUAGAGGUCUUGGUGAAGGUUUUUAGCUGUGGGAAUACAUAAACAAGAGAUCUGGUGGCUAGAAAGUGUGAUAUUGAAACAUUGUUAAUAUAAAGAGCUUAGAAGUGAUGUAGUUUCUAGUGCUGAUGAGGUCUAGGAUGGGACCAUGGAGAUGGGUGGCUGAUUGGAUGGAGAGACAUGUCACUGGUGAUAAAGAGGUGAAGGAACUGUAAGAUUUCCUGUUGCUUUCAGGAUGAAGCUUAAAUUCUUUGGUAGAACACACUGAGAUCUUUGUGAAAUGAUCCCUACUCAAUUCUCAAUCCAACCAUCUCCCCACUCCAGACUUUGCUCGGUACAUCUUGCUCUUCACACUCUUGCUAUUGUCUGUUCCUUCUCUCGGCAGAAUGAACCUCAUUGUACCCCACUUCCCAGCCUCAGCUCUACACAUCUUUAAAAUUCCCUACAUAUUAUUUCCUACAUAGUAUUAUCCUAAACAUAGAGUUCUGCAUAAGACAUUCCUGUUUUUGCUUUCAGAUAGACCCUGGACUUCCUGUUUUUAUAGUUACAAGUGUGUUUCCACCCUUGUCUGUAUGAUAGUGAUUGUUAAUAUUUCUUUAGACUUACUCAUGGCAUAGUACAUGCUCAAAUUUCGUCACUAUUCCAUUUGUGUUUUGACAAAAUGUUGGAUGCAUAGUUCUGUGCAUUCAUUCAUUAUUCAUUUGUUCAGUCAUUCAUUCUUUCAUUUAACAAGUAUCUACUAAGGGUGUGCAAUGUACCGGCAAUGCUUUGAAGUGCCUGAGAUACAUCAGUGAACAAAAAAGACAGAAAUCUUUGCCCUCUAAGCUUACAUUCCAGUGGAGGAAGACAGAUGAUAAAUCAUGGGUAUAAUAUGUUAGUAAAUUAGAGAUAUGUAAGAAUCUGAUAAAGACUAUGGGAAAAAGUAAUACAGGAGGAUUGCAGGUGAUUUUUGCAAUUGUAAAUAAAGGGGUCAUAGAAGGCUUCCCUGAGAAGAUGACAUUUGAGCAAAGAGCUGAAGAAGGUAAGGAAAUUAGUCAUGUAAGUAUCUGAGGUAAGAGCGUUUGAGGCAGCUAGAAAAGGAAUGCAAAGGAUCUGAAACAGGAAGACAGAGUACAUAGACAGAUGCUGGGAGGUAGGAGCUUGUGCAGCACGUUCAAAGGACAGCAAGAAGGCAGUGUGACUGGAGCAGUGUAAACAACAAAAAGAAUAGUGACAGGUGGGGUCAGAUAACAAGAAGUACUUCAUUAUAGGGUCUUUGGCUUUUACUCUGAGUGACAGGGGAACAGGAAAGUGGUAUAAUAUGAUUUACAUUGUCAAAGGGUCACUGUGGCCAUUGUGUUGAGAAUAGACAAAAAGGGGAAGGAUAGAUGCAGGAGAGUGAGGAGGUUACUGUAACAAUCCUCAGAGGAGAAAACAGUGGCUUGGUCUAUGGUUGUAGCAUGGUCAUGGAGACAAGUGCUUGAAAUCUGGAUAUAUUUUAAAGAUUGAGCCAGGUGGUUUUCCUGGCAGAAUAAAGGUGGUACGACAGAGAGGAUAGGGAUGAUUCCAUGGUUUUUGCCUUGGCGCAGAGACAGAUUUUUUUUUUUGUUUUGUUUUGUUUUUUUGCUUUUAAAGGCCCCACCUGUGGCAUAUGGAAGUUCUGGGCUGGGGUCGAACUGGAGCUGCAGCUGUCAAGCUACACCACAGCCACAUCAAUGCCAGAUAUGAGCUGUGUCUUUGACCUACACCAUAGCUCAUGGCAAUGCCAGAUCCUUAACUCAUGGAGUGGGGCCAGGGAUCCCACAUCCUCAUGGAUACUAGUUGGAUUCGUUCUCUCUGUGCCACAAUAGGACUCCAGGGUGAGUUAGAUUCUUGGAGGAAGGUCACAAGUUAAGUUUUAUUUUUUUUUAUUAUAAUUUGUAUUUAUUUGUCUUUCAUAUUUUAAAGUGUUAUUAAAGUGUAGUUGAUUUACAGGGUUGUGAUAAUUGCUGCUGUACAAAAAGCAACUCAGAUAUACAUGUUCACACAUCCAUUCUCUUUCGGAUUCUUUUCCCACAUAGAUUAUCACACAACAUUGGGUAGAGUACUCUGCACUAUAUAACAGGUCCCUGUUGGCCCAUCGUUCCAUAUACCUCAGUGUGCAUAUGCCAAUCCCAAGCCCCCAAUCCAUCCUUCCCCCUUCCACCUGUCCCUUUUGGUAACCAUAAGUUUUUCAAAGUCUGAGUCUGUUUCUGUUCUUCAAAUAUGUUUAUUUGUAACCUUUUUUUUUAAAGAUUCCACAUAUAAGUGAUAUAUCUUGCGGUGUGUGUCUUUCACUGUUUAACUAACUUCACUCAUUAUGAUAAUUUCUAGGUCCAUCCAUGCUGUUGCAAAUGGUGUUGUUUCAUUCUUUUUGAUGGCUGAGUAAUAUUCCAUUGUAUAUAUUUACCACAUUUUCUUAAUACAUUCAUCUGUUGAUGGACAUUUAGAUUGCUUCUAUAUCUUGGCUAUUAUAAAUAGUAGUUAAAUGAACAGUGGGCUUCAUGUAUCUUUCUGAAUUAUGGUUUUCUUCAGAUAGAUGCCCAGUCGUGGGAUUGCUGGAUCUAGUUCUAUUUUUAGUUUUUUGAGGAACCUCCAUACCGUUUUUCAUAGUGCUUGCACCAAUUUAAACAUCUUGAGUUUGUGAUGUGGAGAUGUUCAGUGUGUAAUUGCAUACACAAACUUAAAUUUUAGGAGCUAGGCCUGGCUUGGAUAGGAACACUGGGGAGUCAUUAGUAUAUAGACAGUACUUAAACCCUGAUGGGAUGAGGUUGCCAAGGGAAGAGGAGAGGACCAAAGGUUGAGCCAUGAGACUCUCCAAUGUUAAGAUGUCUGAGAGGAGAAGAGGAAUCAGUAAAAGAGACUGAGAAGGACCAAAUUUGAGGUGAGAGGAAAGCCAAUGGAUAGGUGUCUAGAAGUAAAUGGAAAAAGUGAAUCAAUAAGGAGAGAGUGGUCUCAACGGGAUCAGUGCCAACAAGAGCACAGUAAGAUGGGAACUCAGAAAAGACCACUGGAUUUAGCAAUGGAGACCUUGGCAAGAACAGUGUCUGUGGACUGAUGAGUCAGAAAGCUGCACAAGAGUCAAGAGUAUCAGAGGAUAGGUAUUGGGAGGCUGUAAUUACUAGCAAAUGGGAGCAGAGACAGGGGCAGUAUUUUCAGGAGAAAUAGAGUCAUGCUAAAGGCAAUCCAAAUAGAAUUAUCCAGAACCAAAAAGGGAAAUGAACAAAACAGUGGUUUUCUGGGACAUUGUAAUAUCUGGAGACAUGUUUGAUAGUCAUGAUUGGGGUUGUACUGGUGGCAUCUUGUGGGUAGAGGCCCGGGAUACUGCUGAACAUCCUAUAGUCCAUAGGACAGCUCCCACAGCAAAGAGUUAUCUGCCUCAAACAACAAUAAUGCCAAGAUUGAGAAACUACUCCAGAUAAAGACGAUUCUGCAUAGACACACAAAACUUUGAACACAGUUCGAAUAAAAACACAUCUGCAUAUAUACAGAAAAUUUUGAACACAGUUUCAGGGGUUUCAGAGACUUCUUGAAGCCUAUUGAUAGAUCAAUCUGGGUCAACCGAUUUCAAGUCCAAACCCUCUGCUGGGUGCUCCCGGAUGGUUCAGCAGGUUGGGGAUCUGGUAUUAUCACUGCUGUAGCUCUGGUCACUUGUGUGGUGCGGAUUCAGUCUCUGGCCUGGGAACUUCUGCAUGCAAAGGGCAUGGCAAAAAAAAAAAAAAAAAAAAAAAAAAGAGAGAGAACCUUCUGCUGGAAGUUUCUAUGUAGUCCCGUAUCAGGAAGCAAGGUAGACUUCUCUUAAGCUUUAUUUCAAGCAACUGAAUUAAAUUAAAUUUUAGAACAGAAUCAAUAAUAUGUUUAAUGGUUUACAUUCUUUGAAAUAAAGCAUGCAUUUUUACAAAAACUUUCCACUUUAUUUUUAAAUCAAUGUAUAUUUUAAGCCAAGCAUGAUACAGAUGUUUUUGAUUCAUAGACUAAUACGUCAAGAUGUUUUGUAUGGGUCAUUUAAUAUUCGCAAACUUGCAUGAGCUUCUCUUUUUCGUAAGUCCCCAAAAGGUCAUUUAAUUUUUAAAGGUAGGAGGUCAUAUUUUUCCAUUAGGAAAUUUACUAACAUGGACUCAAAUCAUGUUCAAACACACAGUCCCAUUUGGAUUUGGAAAAAACAAAUCAUCUCUUCUUUAUUUUAUCAUGCUUAUGCAAUAUGCAAGUGCUUGGGGAAUGACUUAAGUAAUGGCUAAAUGGAUCUUUGUUCUACUAUAUCGCCAAUAAAGUUUAGGCUU